AAAGAAAGAAAGAAAAGAAAAGCAAUUUAUAAGUGCGAGUAAAUUCCCGGUGGGAAUAAUAUUCCGUCGAACGGCAAACGCUCACCUUCAGUCUCAGCCUCAGGCAAUGAAGAAGCCGAGUCAACCCCCCAAAAUCAAGGACAAGAAUGAAUCGCUCCUUCCCAACAACGAAAAGAAGCCCCUUUCUUCUUCUUCUCCUUCUACUUCUUCUUCUUCCUCCUCUAUAUCCCCAAACCCAAACCAAAACCCAAACGACACCGUUCCAGUCCCCAAGAAGAUAACCAGAGAUCUCCCCAAUCUAUCCGAAUGCCACGCUUGCGGGUUGAGAACCGACACCGCCAACCCUAACCCUAAAAGGCAAAGACUCCAAACCUUGCGCAGCGAAUGGCGCAUCGUUCUUCUCUGCAACAAGUGUUUCCUCCGCGUCAACUCCUCCCACAUCUGCUCCUACUGUUUUCUCCAAGCCGACCACUCCUCCUUCCUCUGCCGCCUCUGUAACCGCCGCGUCCAUAGCCACUGCUUUCACAACAAUCGGCACGUCGCGCCCUGGUCCUACGCUUCUUCCGAUGAAUUCUCCGUCUGCGUCGAUUGCUGGGUGCCCAAGCCCAUUGCGCUUUCCCGGAGUCGGAGUCGGAGUCAGAGUCAGAACAACUUCAAGGGCAAUUCCGACGAGUCGUCUAGGGUAUUGCCUGAAUUCAAUUCUGUCAAAUCGCUCCAAGACGCCGCCAAUGAUGCCAGUUCUGUGGCCAAGAACAAGAUCGAGGCCGCCGUGAAGGCCAGAGAGGAGGCCGUGAGGAAAGCCUUGGUGGCUAGGAAGGCCGUGGAGUUGGCCAAUACUGCUCUUGAUUUGGUUGCUUCUGACGCUAACAAUAAGGAGGAGGAGGUUUUUAUCGAUGAUGUGGAAUUAGCGUUUCGGUUGCACCGGGUUAUGAAUAGCUCCCCAAGGAUAUCCAGCAACUUUUGCUCCUUGAAUACCAGUUGCUUGGCUAUUGUUCCGAGGUCGGCGGCCUCGGGGAAUCCUAGCGUUUGUGGGAAGCUUCAACUUUGCAGUGAUAACAAGUUGUGUGAAAAUCCUGAUAAAAGUGUUUCAGAACCAUCAGUUUGUGUUCGGCCUUCAGAUGGGGAUGGGAAUUCUUCCAAUUCUAAUGGAGAUGACAAUACUAUGGACUCUGCCAAUCUAUCCUCUGGUAAUGAAUGCAAACCUUCUACUACUACUACUAUGCCUAAGGAUAGAUAUCGGUUUAAGUAUUGUAGAUUCAAGCCUGCUAAUGUGCCUAAGGAUAGAUAUCGGAUUAAGUAUUGUAGAUGCAAGCCUGCUAAUGUGCCUAAGGAUAGAUAUCGGUUUAAGUAUUGUAGAUGCAAACCUGCAAGGCCUAAGGAUAGAUAUCGAGUUAAGUAUUGUAGGAGAAACUUUAGAUUGAAAACACUUGUUGAUUGUAAACAAUCCAAGUUCUCUUGCGACGGGUUUGACCUGGUUAACGAGGGCUCUGCUUCUGCUCCUGCUCCUGGACUAGUUACGGCUUGUUCCAAUGAAUCGAUGACAAUUUCCAAUGCUACAUUAUUGCAGUGCUGUGUGGUUCCUUUACAACCUUCUGGUUGUGCAAGUGGUUCAUUUCAAGACCAGUCAUCAAGGCAAUAGGUCCUAAUUGAUAUUGCUUGCUCACUUUGAGAUAACUUUGAUUGGUGAAUCAAAGAUGUGUAAUCCUGAUAACUAGAUUGACAAAACAAAAGUUGUGGAAUAGAAGAGCUGAUGCUUGAGUGCUAACUUCUUGUAGUCACAUAGUUGCUUGCGGCAGUAACAAUGUUGAUACUAGGAUUUGAAGAGACUUGUACAAGGAACUGAAAGCUAGAUUUAAGUAAUAUCCUUUCAUAUAGGAGGUAAUUGUAUAAUUGGUGAGUUAUCUACUUGCAUUUGUUUCGUCUGGGGGAAAAAGGGAUUUUUUUUUUU